UACGAAGGGGGCUAGCGUUGCUCGGAAUGACUGGGCGUAAAGGGCGCGUAGGCGGCUCAUACAGUCAGGCGUGAAAUUCCUGGGCUCAACCUGGGGACUGCGCUUGAGACGUGUGGGCUUGAGUGGGGAAGAGGGUCGUGGAAUUCCCAGUGUAGAGGUGAAAUUCGUAGAUAUUGGGAAGAACACCGGUGGCGAAGGCGGCGACCUGGUCCUUGACUGACGCUGAGGCGCGAAAGCGUGGGGAGCGAACAGG
rnacentral:rRNA from 1 species